AGCAGCCGCGGUAAUUCCAGCUCCAAUAGCGUAUAUUAAAGUUGUUGCAGUUAAAAAGCUCGUAGUUGAAUUUCGGGAUCAAUUUGCUGGUCGUGCCUCUGGUACGUACUGGUAUUAUUGGUUUCUCCCUUCUGACGAACCAUGAUGUCAUUAAUUUGAUGUCGUGGAGAAUCAGGACUGUUACUUUGAAAAAAUUAGAGUGUUUAAAGCAGGCAUUAGCUUGAAUACAUUAGCAUGGAAUAAUGAAAUAGGACGUUUGAUCCUAUUUUGUUGGUUUCUAGGAUUGACGUAAUGAUUAAUAGGGAUAGUUGGGGGGCAUUAGUAUUCAAUUGUCAGAGGUGAAAUUCUUGGAUUUAUUGAAGACUAACUACUGCGAAAGCAUUUGCCAAGGAUGUUUUCAUUAAUCAAGAACGAAAGUUAGGGGAUCGAAGACGAUCAGAUACCGUCGUAGUCUUAACCAUAAACUAUGCCGACUAGGGAUCGGAUGAUGUUAAUUUUUUAAUGACUCAUUCGGCGCCUU
rnacentral:misc_RNA from 1 species